CUUUCACACGAACCAAACGUGCCAUUUUUCCCCAUUUACAGACCCCCACUCCACUCUACACUUCCAUGAUUUCAUCCAAUCUCCAUUCCAUUAGCUUCCCUCUCAUACCCCUCCACUCUCUCUCAUCAUUCAGUAAGCUCUCCUCUUGUUUACACACUUUCUCUCUCUAACCAUUUUCCCUCCUCUGUGUGUGGGUGUGGGGCAGCUGGAGCUCCCAAUCGAUAGAAGACAAACUUUCACAUACAUUCCAAAGAGCACAUAAAAGCAAAUAUAGAUAGACACGCUAUGGGGUUCAUGUUCAAGGUGCUCUCGCUCUCUUCGUCCUCUAUCUUUCUCUCUCUCUCUCUCUCUCUUCCCCCUUUGAGGUGCCAUUUGGAAUGAGCAGUGUGCUCUUGAUUCUUGAAUUUACACUGAAACAAGCUCAUAUUAUGCUUUACUUGUUUUGGAUGGAUACAGAGGGAAAAGGUUAGCUUUUUGCUCUUCUGCAAAUCUCCAAUGCUCCAUCUAUUUGUAACCAUGAUCUUCACCAAAACAAAAUUAUUUACUUUAUUGCUAUUUGAUUGGCAAAACCCUGCAUUUCCCUAAAUUUUAUACUGCCCAUUUCUUUCUGUGCUUUUUUUUUUCUUGGUGGAAAAGGAAAGUGUUCAAGACUGUGAUACUCUUUUUAAUAUUUUGUCCUUCUGACUCUCUAUUUUGAAGGAUCUGCCUUUUCAAAGGCCAAGUAAGUUCCUUCCCUCCUUUGCUUUGUUUUAAUGUAAUGAAAUUAGGGAUAUGGAGAUGGAGAUGAGGUGCUUGAAAGAAUUUGUAAACAGAAGAUUGAGAGAUUUGGGGAGUCUAAGUACAGUAAGAUAAAACUAUAGGAGGUUAUUGAUCCCUAUGUUCUUAAAGGUGGAUUUUAUUAUUAUUAUUAUUCUUUUGAAUCCUAGGAUAUGAUAUUGUACUUUGGCAAGUAUAAAAUCUAUUUGUUGAUCCAUACAUUCUGGUUUUUGUUUA